rnacentral:rRNA from 1 species
CGUGUAGGCGGUCGGUUUAAGUCUGAUGUGAAAGCCCGGGGCUUAACCUCGGAAGGGCGUUGGAAACUGGCCGACUUGAGUUCGGGAGAGGGAAGCGGAAUUCCGGGUGUAGAGGUGAAAUUCGUAGAUAUCCGGAGGAACAACCGGUGGCGAAGGCGGCUUCCUGGACCGAAACUGACGCUGAGACGCGAAAGCGUGGGGAGCAAACAGGAUUAGAUACCCUGGUAGUCCACGCUGUAAACGAUGGGCACUAGGUGUGGGGGGUUUUUAAUCCCUCCGUGCCGCAGCUAACGCAUUAAGUGCCCCGCCUGGGGAGUACGGCCGCAAGGUUAAA